rnacentral:lncRNA from 1 species
GAAAUGUCUGCUGGUGGGGGCAGGUGCUGGCGUGCUGUCAGUGGAACUCUAGCAUGUCUGGGGGACACUGGCAUGUGUUGUGUGGGGGACACUGGCGUGUUGUGCAGGGGACACUGGCAUGUCGUGUGGGGGACACUGGCGUGUUCUGUGGGGGCAAUGGUGUGUUGUGUGGGGACACUGGCGUGUCGUGUGGGGGACACUGGUGUGUACACGGGACACUGGCGUGUCGUGCGGGGGGACACUGGCAUUUUCUGUGGGGGCAAUGGCAUGUUGUGUGGGGGACACUGGCGUGUUGUGUGGGGGCAAUGGCGUGUCGUGUGGGGACACUGGCGUGUCGUGCGGGGGACACUGGUGUGUACACGGGACACUGGCGUGUCGUGCGGGGGGACACUGGCAUGUUCUGUGGGGGCAAUGGCAUGUUGUGUGGGGGACACUGGCGUGUUGUGUGGGGGACACUGGCAUGUCGUGUGGGGGACACUGGCGUGUUCUGUGGGGGCAAUGGCGUGUUGUGUGGGGACACUGACGUGUUGUGUGGGGGACACUGGCGUGUGCACGGGACACUGGCAUGUCAUGUGGGGGACACUGGUGUGUUGUGCGGGGGACACUGGCAUGUUCUGUGGGGGCAAUGGCGUGUUGUGUGGGGGACACUGGUGUGUUGUGUGAGGACACUGGUGUGUUGUGUGAGGGGCACUGAUACGUGUGGUGAGUCGCUGUCCUACUGUGGGGGGAAUCUGAUGUGUGUGGGGAGCACUGAUGUGUGUGGGGGUCACUGUCCUACUGUGGGGGUCGCUGUCCUAUUGUGGGGGCUGCUGAUGUGUGGGGGGGUUGCUGUCCUACUGUGGGGGGCACUGAUAUGUGUGGGGACCACUGUCCUACUGUGGGGGCUGCUGUGUGUGGGGGUCGCUGUCCUAUUGUGGGGGCUGCUGUGUGUGGGGGUCGCUGUUCUAUUGUGGGGGCUGCUGUGUGUGGGGGAGUCGCUGUCCUGUUGUGGGGCGCUGAUGUGUGUGGGGGUCGCUGAUCUAUUGUGGGGGCUGAUGUGUGUGGGGGUUGCUGUCCUAUUGUAGGGGCCGCUGAUGUGUGGGGGUCACGUCCUGUUGUGGGGCACUGAUGUGUGGGGGUCGCUGUCCUGUUGUGGGGGCUGAUGCAUGGAUACAUUGGCC